rnacentral:rRNA from 1 species
UGGGGAAUAUUGCACAAUGGGGGAAACCCUGAUGCAGCGACGCCGCGUGAGCGAAGAAGGCUUUCGAGUCGUAAAGCUCUGUCCUAUGAGAAGAUAAUGACGGUAUCAUAGGAGGAAGCCCUGGCUAAAUACGUGCCAGCAGCCGCGGUAAUACGUAUGGGGCGAGCGUUGUCCGGAAUUAUUGGGCGUAAAGGGUACGUAGGCGGUUUUUUAAGUCAGGUGUCAAAGCGUGGAGCUUAACUCCAUUAAGCACUUGAAACUGAAAGACUUUAGUGAAGGAGAGGACAGUGGAAUUCCUAGUGUAACGGUGAAAUGCGUUGGUAUUAGGAGGAAUACCGGUGGCGGAGGCGACUUUCUGGACUUUUUCUGACGCUCAGGUACGAAAGCGUGGGGAGCAAACAAG